GAUGAACGCUGGCGGCGUGCCUAAUACAUGCAAGUCGAGCGAACAGACGAGGAGCUUGCUCCUCUGACGUUAGCGGCGGACGGGUGAGUAACACGUGGAUAACCUACCUAUAAGACUGGGAUAACUUCGGGAAACCGGAGCUAAUACCGGAUAAUAUAUUGAACCGCAUGGUUCCAUAGUGAAAGACGGUUUUGCUGUCACUUAUAGAUGGAUCCGCGCCGCAUUAGCUAGUUGGUAAGGUAACGGCUUACCAAGGCAACGAUGCGUAGCCGACCUGAGAGGGUGAUCGGCCACACUGGAACUGAGACACGGUCCAGACUCCUACGGGAGGCAGCAGUAGGGAAUCUUCCGCAAUGGGGGAAAGCCUGACGGAGCAACGCCGCGUGAGUGAUGAAGGUCUUCGGAUCGUAAAACUCUGUUAUUAGGGAAGAACAAAUGUGUAAGUAACUGUGCACGUCUUGACGGUACCUAAUCAGAAAGCCACGGCUAACUACGUG
rnacentral:rRNA from 1 species